UGUAUUUGGAUGCUGCGACAAACAACCAAGCAAAAACUGCAAUUUCAUUCUUCCUGAGAUCAGUUCAGCUUCAUGGCUUACCAUCAAGGGUUAGGGCAGAUCAGGGAGUUGAAAACCUGGACAUUGCACAUUUCAUGUUUGCCACACAGGGAACAGGGAGAGCAAGCUUCAUCUCUGGAAAGAGUGUCCAUAAUCAGAGAAUAGAACGACUUUGGCGUGAUGUCUGGGUUGCAGUCACCAGCAAGUACCAUGAUAUUCUUCAGGAGGAGGAUGGUCUGCUUGACAUCUCUGAUGCUGUCCUUCUCUUUGGGGUGCACUACAUUUUUGUCCCUCGACUCCAAGCAGAUCUUGACACCUUUACUGGAGGAUGGAAUAAUCAUCCUCUACGGACAGAGGGUGGUCUAUCUCCUGAACAGCUGUGGUAUGUGGGAGAUCUACACUAUCUUGACGAGGGGGAGGGACUUCAGGUACAAGAGCAUAAAAAGACACAUUUAACAUUUUAAAAAUGGUUUAGUUGCAAAAAAAAUAGGCAAUUACAAUUCAACUGUGGUGCACAAAGCCCACACCUAAUGAUGAAAUCAAGUUUCUUGUGGUUUGAAAGAUCUGAAUCAAUGCGUCUUUCAUGCGUUUUGAGUAGAUGCAGCUGUUUUUGUUC